CCCUAAACAGUUUCCCAUGCAUUGUCAAUGGGGUUUGUAAACCAACACGGAUGUGAUAGAAUUCUGGCCACAUGCUGACUCAGUGGCGCUCCUCAAUGCAGGACGUGGGGGUGGCGAGGGACGCACACUGUAAACAGGAAUAGGUGCAACACCGGUCACUGAGCUGGCAAGCUAAAGUUAGCUAGUUAGUCACAUAAAUGUACAUUCAGCCUGUUAAUUAUUUCAGUCAGAUUUUACGAAGUCAGCAUGGCUUAACAUAGUUUCUUUCGUUUUUGACCUCGACAUUUUUGCUGGAUAGAUACUGUCAUAGCUAACAUGCUGGCGCUGCUAGCUAGCUAAUGCUAACGUCGCUCAAAUCUGGAUGCAUCACUCUAUUUCCGGAGAGAGCAGCAUACUGGUGGUGUCUUACAGAGGAGUGCCCGUUUUGAUUGAAGAUGAGUGUGACGUAGACCCCAGAAGUCUGCAGACUACGGUGGCCCUCCAUUCCCAACCCUGAAGCCCCAAGUCCCCAGCAGGAAAGACCAGGAAAAUGUGUUAGCUUAACUUCCUAUUGAGGAAAUAUCUGCCAACCUGCUCGGUGGGAUACAGGUAACUGUCUUUCCACCAAGCUGUUCACUUCCUGGAGUGGCACGCUGGAACUUCCAGAGGCUUGUAGACCUGAAGCAGUGUGAUGUGGUCCAGCUCAACCACAGUCUUCACAGCUGUAGUCGUCUGCCCCUGCAUCUGCUACCCCGGCCACGACAGGUGAUACAGAUCUGCCACCCCCCAGUUCAGCUGCAGUCACAGUAGUCCUCUGCUGUGGUAUUUAAUUUACCGGCUGCACCAGUUCCUACAACACUGGCCGUGAAGGGAGAAACUUUGGAAGAUUCCUAGAUGGAUGCAGACAGCCUCACCCAAAAGUGCAUACACUGGGUCUAUCAAGACUGACAAGCAGAGAUGGGUGGCUGACAAGGAAAAAUAAAACAACAUGCCCUCACACACAUUAUCCACAUUGUAAAUACGUUGUAAUUGUUUAUUUAAUCUUUGCUCCAUUUUAUUUUAGGAUUGGAGAUAUCCACUCCUACAUGUCCAUUCUCAAUAUCUACAUAAUUACUCUAAAUAUCUAUCAAAUCAGUGUAAUUGACAAUAUUGUAAAAGACUGUGGCUUAAUGUGUACAGUUAGAGGAAAUUCUGUGUGCUUUUUUUCUGAAUUGAAAAACAUGUCUCUCUCACACACACACAUUGUGUCUAAUUGAAAUACAUUGUAAUAACUUGUUUAUUUCAUGUAUGCUCCAUUUUAUUUGAGGAAAAUAUCUACAAUAAAGUACAUUCACAGUUAAAGCAA